GCGCAAACUACUUAGGCGGAGUUAUUCACCAUCAACACCAUCGUCUAUUAUAAUUGCAGUAGUUCCUUCUUUUUCUUUUCCCCUACUCUUCUUGAAUUAUUCUUGAAUUAUUUAAAUUCUACAAGAUCUUCCUUCAUUUUUAAACAAUGGUAUUAAAUAUGACCCUUCUCAUGACAAUAGUAACAUUCUCUAUUUUCAUGGUCUACUCGUGAUCUCGAACUUGAUCUACUAUUCCUUCUCCAAUUGUUUCCACAUGGAUUGCUUCUAUCAUGAUUAGAACCAACAACUAAAGCUCCAACUUCAUUGCUACUACCUGUCUUCUUAAACUUCUCAUCAUCCAAGAUAACU
rnacentral:misc_RNA from 1 species